GGCCGCCUGGCGGCGUUGAAGGCCUGCGUACCUACGCGGGGUAUUGACGUAGACGCCCUGGGCGGUC
rnacentral:ncRNA from 1 species